rnacentral:rRNA from 1 species
GGUACUCGAGUGGCGAACGGGUGAGUAACACGUGGGUGAUCUGCCUUGCACUCUGGGAUAAGCUUGGGAAACUGGGUCUAAUACCGGAUAGGAACCGUCUUUAGUGUGGUGGUUGGAAAGUUUUUUCGGUGCAAGAUGAGCUCGCGGCCUAUCAGCUUGUUGGUGGGGUAAUGGCCUACCAAGGCGUCGACGGGUAGCCGGCCUGAGAGGGUGUACGGCCACAUUGGGACUGAGAUACGGCCCAGACUCCUACGGGAGGCAGCAGUGGGGAAUAUUGCACAAUGGGCGGAAGCCCGAUGCAGCGACGCCGCGUGGGGGAUGACGGCCUUCGGGUUGUAAACUCCUUUCGACAGGGACGAAGCGCAGGUGACGGUACCUGUAUAAGAAGCACCGGCUAACUACGUGCCAGCAGCCGCGGUAAUACGUAGGGUGCGAGCGUUGUCCGGAAUUACUGGGCGUAAAGAGCUCGUAGGUGGUUUGUCGCGUCGUCUGUGAAAUUCCGGGGCUUAACUCCGGGCGUGCAGGCGAUACGGGCAUAACUUGAGUGCUGUAGGGGAGACUGGAAUUCCUGGUGUAGCGGUGAAAUGCGCAGAUAUCAGGAGGAACACCGAUGGCGAAGGCAGGUCUCUGGGCAGUUACUGACGCUGAGGAGCGAAAGCAUGGGUAGCGAACAGGAUUAGAUACCCUGGUAGUCCAUGCCGUAAACGGUGGGCGCUAGGUGUAGGGGGCUUCCACGUCUUCUGUGCCGUAGCUAACGCAUUAAGCGCCCCGCCUGGGGAGUACGGCCGCA